AGUGAACGCUGGCGGUAGGCCUAAUACAUGCAAGUCGAACGGCAGCACAGUAAGAGCUUGCUCUUACGGGUGGCGAGUGGCGGACGGGUGAGGAAUACAUCGGAAUCUACUUUUUCGUGGGGGAUAACGGAGGGAAACUUACGCUAAUACCGCAUACGACCUACGGGUGAAAGCAGGGGAUCUUCGGACCUUUCGCGAUUGAAUGAGCCGAUGUCGGAUUAGCUAGUUGGCGGGGUAAAGGCCCACCAAGGCGACGAUCCGUAGCUGGUCUGAGAGGAUGAUCAGCCACACUGGAACUGAGACACGGUCCAGACUCCUACGGGAGGCAGCAGUGGGGAAUAUUGGACAAUGGGCGAAAGCCUGAUCCAGCAAUACCGCGUGGGUGAAGAAGGCCUUCGGGUUGUAAAGCCCUUUUGUUGGGAAAGAAAAGCAGCAGGUUAAUACCCCGCUGUUCUGACGGUACCCAAAGAAUAAGCACCGGCUAACUUCGUG
rnacentral:rRNA from 1 species